rnacentral:tRNA from 1 species
GUUUGAUUAGCUCAGUCAGAGCAUCCGAAGCGAUCGGCUGGACGUAGGUUCAACUCCUACAUCAAACU